rnacentral:lncRNA from 1 species
ACAUGGUGGAGGGUCCCAGAGCUGGGGUGGGGGGAGCUGAGGGGGGAGCUCUGUUUUGGGGGGAGUCUCUGAGAGUUUUGUAGGUUCCUAAAGGGGUUUGGGGGUCCCUGGGGGGGUCUGUGAGGGGUUUCGGUGUCCCUAAAGGGAUUUGGGGGUCUCUGAGGGUCUGGGGGUGUUGGGGGGAGGUUUUGGGGGUCCCUGACCCCCCGUGCCCCCCAGCUCAGCGGGCAGCUCUCGCCCCGGCUGUUCCGGAAGCUUCCGCCGCGCGUCUGCGUCACCCUCAAGAGCAUCGUGGACGAGGAGUUCCUGUUGGCAGGGCACAUCUUCCUGGGCUUCUCCAAGUGCGGCCGCUACGUCCUGUCCUACACCAGCAGCUCCGGGGACGACGACUUCUCCUUCUACCUGUACCACCUGUACUGGUGGGAGUUCAACGUGCACAGCAAGCUGCGCCUGGUGCGCCAGGUGCGGCUGUUCCAGGACGAGGAGAUCUACAGCGACCUGUACCUGACGGUGUGCGAGUGGCCCGGCGACAGCGACAAGGUCAUCGUCUUCGGCUUCAAGUGGGUGGCAGCCGCCCC